UACCAGCACCCCGAGUGGUCGGGACGUUAUUGGGCCUAAAGCAUCCGUAGCCGGUUCUACAAGUCUUCCGUUAAAUCCACCUGCUUAACAGAUGGGCUGCGGAGGAUACUAUAAGACUAGGAGGCAGGAGAGGCAAGCGGUACUCAGUGGGUAGGGGUAAAAUCCGUUGAUCCAUUGAAGACCACCAGUGGCGAAGGCGGCUUGCCAGAAUGCGCUCGACGUGAGGGAUGAAAGCUGGGGGAGCAAACCGGG
rnacentral:rRNA from 1 species